rnacentral:lncRNA from 1 species
CAUGCAUACAGCCCAGUCUAACGUACAGGAUCAAAAAGGAGACCUUAUUUCGGCUGGCAAUUACCUUACCCGCUUGUUCAUUAUCUGACUCCUGCACUCCUCCCAAGUGUUCAAUGUUAACCAGAUGGCAAAGUUAACCAGACAGAGGAAAUCCACAUAAUUACUCUAGAUGAAGCCCCCUAACUGCGGAUUAGAAGGAAAAGAGAUGAAGGGUGCUGCACUAAUAAUAACAACCAUUUUCAACCAAGGCAGGAUUCUGGGCCUAGAAUCUUCAGUGACAAAUUACCAGGAGAGGAGGAGGGAAAUGAAGAGCUGGAGGCCUAGGGAGAUGGUGUGAGGAGAGGAGACUGUGCCUUUCCACUUCUUAAUAAUUAAUGUUCUCCUGCUGCUCUGAGUCUGCAUGCACCAGUGAUUCAGUUUGAGUCAGACAUCCAACAACAACUGAGCAAAAGAAUCAUCUCAGAUCCAAGCAAUGGUGACGCGCAGAUAGAAGAGACUGAGGCCAACGACCAAAGCAAAGGACAGCAGAACUGACUGACACAGCUCAGAAAAUAUCCAAAGCUCUGGUAUGCUCUGGAAAGGAAGACAAGAAAUGCUAAAGACUCUGGAUAUUGCUCUGUUUCUAUAAGGUCCCACCCAUAUACCAUCUCUUCUUUUGGAUUUCCUUUGGCAGGGGUUCCCUUGUAUGGAAGUUCUCAGGAGAACAACACUCUCAGAGUCCCACUGUCUCAAAGAAUUCUUAAUGGACAGGCUAUACUUGGCCCCAAGGUUUCAACCUCACACUGAAGAAAGUGACAUAAGAAAACACAAGUCCCAGUGCUAUCAGGGGCUAUCUGGAAAAGCUGCUUAAACAGCAAGUGAAAGAAGGCUCUCCCCUACCCCGUUCUAGGACUCACCCUGAAGUUAUUUGAAGGAUCCUUGAGACUCUUUUGGAUUGCUGCUUGGAGAACAUUCCUGUAACUUGUCCCUGCUCCUUGAACUAUAAAAGCAGAAGGGAGGUACUGAGUUAAAACUUACAAAUUAUUAUCAAAUAAAUCUUCAAUAGUGG